rnacentral:rRNA from 1 species
UGUUUGUUGGAGAGAAUAACAAGUAAAUUCUGCCCACUGUAAAUUGGUUAAUAAAGGGCUGCGGUAUUUUAUAACUGUAUUAAGGUAGCAUAAUCAUUAGUUUCUUAAUUAGAGACUGGUAUGAAGGGUAAACGGGGGAAUGGUAUAUUUUGAGAUGAUGUGAAAUUAAUUUUUAUGUGAAAAAUCAUAAUUAUGGAAAGGGACAAGAAGACCCUAAAAGUUUGAUUCUUUGUUAUAAGAUUUAGUUUAGAAAGAGUAUAGAGGGAUUAGUAUGACUUAUAAUUUUGGAGUUUGGCUGGGGCGGCAUAUUUAUAAACAAAAAAUUUUUUUAAUUUAGAUUAAGCGUUUGGGUAGAUCUGGUUAGAUAGUUGGACCAAUUUUAAGAGAAAUUACUUUAGGGAUAACAGCGUAAUCAUUUUUGAGAGUUCUUAUUGACGGAAUGGUUUGCGACCUCGAUGUUGGAUUA